AUUGAACGCUGGCGGCAUGCCUUACACAUGCAAGUCGAACGGCAGCACGGACUUCGGUCUGGUGGCGAGUGGCGAACGGGUGAGUAAUGUAUCGGAACGUACCCUUCAGUGGGGGAUAACUAUCCGAAAGGAUAGCUAAUACCGCAUAUUCUCUGAGGAGGAAAGCGGGGGAUCGCAAGACCUCGCGCUGAUGGAGCGGCCGAUAUCAGAUUAGCUAGUUGGUGGGGUAAAGGCCUACCAAGGCGACGAUCUGUAGCGGGUCUGAGAGGAUGAUCCGCCACACUGGGACUGAGACACGGCCCAGACUCCUACGGGAGGCAGCAGUGGGGAAUUUUGGACAAUGGGGGCAACCCUGAUCCAGCCAUGCCGCGUGAGUGAAGAAGGCCUUCGGGUUGUAAAGCUCUUUCGGCCGGGAAGAAAUCGCGUGAGUUAAUACCUUGCGUGGAUGACGGUACCGGAAUAAGAAGCACCGGCUAACUACGUGCCAGCCGCCGCAGUAACAC
rnacentral:rRNA from 1 species